GGGAAAGAGCCAGGGAGGAAGAGGUUGAAGUCAGCUGUAAUCCCCAACGUCACAUACCCACGAACAUUUCUGUUCAGUGAGGUCCCACCUGCUGCUCCAGGAUAUAACAGAAUGGAGGCAGAUUGAUAGCAAAUAAAACAAAACGAGACCGAGAGGUGAAAGAGGACCAAAAGAGACCCCUACAAAAUACGAAAGACUUGAUUGUGGACACCUAGGAGCAAUGUGAGUAGCUUGAUGGAUCCGGAGUCAACCAACACCAUCAGGGAGAGUUUGGAAAUAAGCAGAGAUGCAACCUUUCAUAUGUGGAGCAGAGCGUCAUAUGGAGAGAAGAAUACAGCUUCAAGGGGCCAAGAAUUUCAGUUGCAUAAUCUAAAUUUGUCCAAAAAACUGAACAAAUUUGUGGAAGACCCAAAGCUCCAGAUAAGAACCCCACCUGGUUCUAGGGAUGGAACUCUCCUUGCAACUACUCCUCUAGCAGAGGGCACUAAGACUGAUGGAAGAAACACAUCUGAUCCCAAGUGCAACUCAAAGACAAGUCUGACUGAUUACAAAGUUCUACUUUUCCCAGCAUGGUAGCCAACAACCUAAGUGGAUUUAAGGAGGCAUUGGAUGACAUGAGAAGGUGGAAAACAAAGGUUCCGGAACUCACCAGUUCACAGCUUCUCUGGCAAUAGUCUCACCUCCCUCUUGGACCUUUCUCCAGCUCAUGAGUGAAGCCAAGUCUUCAGUGGUUCCCAGGAAAACAGUGGAGGUAUGGUGUUGAACUCUGCUAGCAAUGCUGGAAGUCAAGCAGAACAAUACACACCUGUCAGAGAGGAUAUGACCUUUAGGGUGUGUGACCCAGGAGGAAACCUGGCAAGAUACAGAGCCCCAGAAACUACUGCCUGAAGCAAGACAAUGGACUUUCAAAAGAAAAUGUCAGCAUUAAUAGACAGCCACACUAGAAGAGAAAGAUAGUACCAUUUCAAGGUUAUUUGAAGUUCAUCUCUACCUUUUAAGUGGAGUCCCAGGACUGGAAAUUCAUAAAUAUUUGCUCUGGGAGCAAGUGACCACAUCCAUUCCAAGAUGAAGGAUAAGGGAUUGGACCCCAAAUCUUGUGCAUGAUAAUUGUUUCAGACCUGGCCUUAAGAAGACAUUUCAGCUUUAAUAAAAUGGAGAACACAGAAGAAAUGGACAGAUUUCUAAAU